rnacentral:lncRNA from 1 species
UACAAACUUAGAAUAACUCUCCUAUAAAAAUGGGGCUUAUGUCUCAUUACAAAACAUAUGAUAUAUUUCAGGGCAAGACUGAGAUGUUUCCCAAAAAUCUUUUAGUGAGCUUCACUGCCAUUGUUGUGCUCUUAACAUCAAAUAUUCCAUGUAAUUAUUCUAAGAAAUUACCAAAGGUUUCUAAUACUCCAGGCUCAUCUGAUCUUUCAGGAUUUUCACCAGAUGACACUUAUGUCACUGCUAAAUUUUCUCGAGAUCCUUGGAAUAGUGGAUACAUGCCUUUCGCAAACCCAGAUUUCACCCAAGAAUCUGCUUCCUCCAAAGACCAACAAUCACCAUUAGAGUUUCAAGAAUCAGUGCAAACACCUGAUGGUGUAGGCUUAAAUGGAUGGGGAAGGAUACCGCGGGUUCCAAAGCCUAAGGCUCUAGGCUUAAAUGGAUGGGGAAGGAUACCGCGGGUUCCAAAACCUGAUGAUAUAGGCUUAGAUGGAUGGGGAAGGAUACCGCGGGUUCCAAAACCUGAUGAUAUAGGCUUAGAUGGAUGGGGAAGGAUACCGCGGAUUCCAAAACCUGAUGCUCUAGGAUUAAAUGGAUGGGGAAGGAUACCGCGGAUUCCAAAACCUGAUGGUCUUGGCUUAGAUGGAUGGGGAAGGAUACCGCGGGUUCCAAAGCCUAAGGCUCUAGGCUUAAAUGGAUGGGGAAGGAUACCGCGGGUUCCAAAGCCUAAGGCUCUAGGCUUAAAUGGAUGGGGAAGGAUACCGCGGGUUCCAAAACCUGAUUCUAUAGGCUUAGAUGGAUGGGGAAGGAUACCUCGGCCGCCAAAACUUAGCGACCCCGGAUCACUACGGGUUCCUCCAUCUAUGGAAGCACUACCUAGAAAAUCAGCACUCGGUCCAACUAAUCCUGCAUCUCCACUGUUGGAUCUCCUGGAUCCCCGCCAUUGAGCCACCAACAGAAAUUUCUCCAAGCACUGUGAAUUAAUUUCAAGAGUUCAUGUACCUUAUUUUCUAGUCUUCAAAGUCUUGCAUCUUGAAGUAUUAUACAUUAUGCUUAAUCAUAUACACAAACAUAUAUGUGUACACGUAUUAUUUAUUACUCGUAUUAUAGUCAUUAUUUUAGUUAGGUGAAAGAAAUCUGACUUAAAUUAUAUAAUUUUACUUGUAUUCAUCCAGC